rnacentral:rRNA from 1 species
GCGGGAAGAGCUCAAAUUUGAAAUCUGGUGGCCUCAGGUCAUCCGAGUUGUAAUCUAUAGAAGUGUUUUCCGUGCUGGCUCAUGUACAAGUCCCUUGGAACAGGGCGUCAUAGAGGGUGAGAAUCCCGUCCUUGACAUGAACUACCAGUGCUCUGUGAUACAUUUUCAACGAGUCGAGUUGUUUGGGAAUGCAGCUCAAAAUGGGUGGUAAAUUCCAUCUAAAGCUAAAUAUUGGCGAGAGACCGAUAGCGAACAAGUACCGUGAGGGAAAGAUGAAAAGCACUUUGGAAAGAGAGUUAAACAGUAUGUGAAAUUGUUAAAAGGGAAACGAUUGAAGUCAGUCGUGCUCUUUGGAUUCAGCCGGUUCUGCCGGUGUACUUCCUUUGAGUGGGGUCAACAUCAGUUUUGACCGCUGGAUAAAGGCUGGAGGAACGUAGCACCCCCGGGUGAACUUAUAGCCUCCUGUCACAUACAGUGGUUGGGACUGAGGAACG